rnacentral:rRNA from 1 species
UUUACGGAGAGUUUGAUCCUGGCUCAGGACGAACGCUGGCGGCGUGCUUAACACAUGCAAGUCGAACGGUGAAGAGAAGCUUGCUUCUUGGAUCAGUGGCGAACGGGUGAGUAACACGUGAGCAAUCUGCCCUUGACUCUGGGAUAACUGCGGGAAACUGUAGCUAAUACCGGAUACGACCCUCGGAGGCAUCUCCUGGGGGUGGAAAGAAUUUUGGUCAAGGAUGAGCUCGCGGCCUAUCAGCUAGUU